CUACGGGGGGCUGCAGUGAGGAAUUUUGCGCAAUGGGGGAAACCCUGACGCAGCAACGCCGCGUGAGUGAUGAAGGCUUUCGAGUCGUAAAGCUCUGUCAAAUGAGAAGAAACUACUUUUUGUUAAUACCGUUAAGUAUUGACGGUAUCAUUGAAGGAAGCACCGGCUAACUCCGUGCCAGCAGCCGCGGUAAUACGGAGGGUGCAAGCGUUAUUCGGAAUCAUUGGGCGUAAAGGGCGCGUAGGUGGUCUUUUAAGUCAGAUGUGAAAGCCCGGGGCUCAACCCCGGAAGUGCAUUUGAAACUAAGGGACUUGAGUAUGGGAGAGGGAAGUGGAAUUCCUGGUGUAGAGGUGAAAUUCGUAGAUAUCAGGAGGAACACCGGUGGCGAAGGCGACUUCCUGGACCAAUACUGACGCUGAGGCGCGAAGGCGUGGGGAGCAAACAGGAUUAGAUACCCGAGUAGUC
rnacentral:rRNA from 1 species